ACGCUCGACACCUACGGAGGCAGCAGUGGGGAAUAUUGCACAAUGGGGGAAACCCUGAUGCAGCGACGCCGCGUGGAGGAAGAAGGUCUUCGGAUUGUAAACUCCUGUUGUUGGGGAAAAAGAGGAUGGUACCCAACAAGGAAGUGACGGCUAACUACGUGCCAGCAGCCGUGGUAAUCUGAGGCGGGCGUGGACGAAGGC
rnacentral:rRNA from 1 species